CAGAGUGCGGGGCGGGCCAUUCAGGCUGCGCCUAGCGAUGAGAUGCGGGUGAGAGCGGCUGUCCUGCGCAGCUGCGCGUGUGACGCUGGGGUGCGCGGCCUCUGAGCAGACCAGUAUGUCCAGGAUGCCUGGGAGCAAGCAGAGAGCUACUGGGAAGCCUGAGAGAUGCAGAAUUUUUCAGUGAGUGAGGUAAAGAAGGUGCCACAUGCCCCAGCCCCCAGCCAGGGCUCAUAAGCCCUCCCUCCCAAUAAAAAUCCCCAGUCUCACAAAUGAGAAGAGAUUUCCCUGAAGGCAUCUAGAGGUCUCUGUCCUCGGGUGAAUCUGGAGCCGUGGAGGAUGGAGUCCUUGGACCGGAGAAGAACUGGCUCUGAGCAGGAGGAGGGCUUUGGGGUGCAGUCAAGGAGGGCCACUGACCUGGGCAUGGUCCCCAAUCUCCGACGAAGCAAUAGCAGCCUUUGCAAGAGCAGGAGAUUUCUGUGCUCUUUCAGCAGUGAGAAGCAAGAAAACCUUAGCUCAUGGAUUCCCGAGAAUAUCAAGAAGAAGGAGUGUGUGUACUUCGUGGAAAGUUCCAAACUCUCGGACGCAGGGAAGGUAGUGUGUGCGUGUGGUUAUACCCACGAGCAACACUUGGAGGUGGCCAUCAAGCCACACACCUUCCAGGGCAAGGAGUGGGAUCCAAAGAAACACGUCCAAGAGAUGCCCACAGAUGCCUUUGGUGACAUCGUUUUCACAGACCUGAGCCAGAAAGUGGGGAAGUAUGUCCGGGUCUCCCAGGACACGCCCUCCAGUGUCAUCUACCAGCUCAUGACCCAGCACUGGGGCCUAGAUGUCCCCAACCUCCUCAUCUCCGUGACCGGUGGGGCCAAGAACUUCAACAUGAAGCUGAGGCUGAAGAGCAUCUUCCGGAGAGGCUUGGUCAAGGUGGCUCAAACCACGGGGGCCUGGAUCAUCACUGGAGGAUCCCACACAGGCGUGAUGAAGCAGGUGGGCGAAGCGGUACGGGACUUCAGUCUGAGCAGCAGCUGCAAAGAAGGUGAAGUCAUCACUAUUGGCGUAGCCACGUGGGGCACCAUCCACAACCGCGAGGGACUGAUCCAUCCCAUGGGAGGCUUCCCCGCCGAGUACAUGCUGGAUGAGGAAGGCCAAGGGAACCUGACCUGCUUGGACAGCAACCAUUCCCACUUCAUCUUGGUGGAUGAUGGGACCCACGGGCAAUAUGGUGUGGAGAUUCCGCUGAGGACUAAGCUGGAAAAGUUCAUCUCAGAGCAAACGAAGGAAAGGGGAGGUGUGGCCAUCAAGAUCCCCAUUGUCUGCGUGGUGUUGGAGGGUGGCCCUGGCACUCUGCAUACAAUCUACAAUGCCAUCAACAAUGGCACACCCUGCGUGAUAGUGGAGGGCUCUGGCCGAGUGGCUGACGUCAUCGCUCAGGUAGCUACUCUGCCUGUCUCUGAGAUCACCAUCUCCUUGAUCCAGCAGAAGCUCAGCAUAUUCUUCCAGGAGAUGUUUGAGACUUUCACCGAAAACCAGAUUGUGGAAUGGACCAAAAAGAUCCAAGACAUUGUCCGGAGGCGGCAGCUGCUGACGAUCUUCCGGGAAGGCAAGGAUGGUCAGCAGGAUGUGGAUGUGGCCAUUCUGCAGGCGUUACUGAAAGCCUCUCGAAGCCAAGACCACUUUGGCCACGAGAACUGGGACCACCAACUGAAGUUGGCUGUGGCCUGGAACCGCGUGGACAUCGCUCGCAGUGAGAUCUUCACCGAUGAAUGGCAGUGGAAGCCUGCAGAUCUGCAUCCCAUGAUGACGGCCGCUCUCAUCUCCAACAAGCCUGAGUUCGUGAGGCUCUUUCUGGAGAAUGGGGUGCGGCUCAAGGAGUUUGUCACUUGGGAUACUCUUCUCUGCCUGUACGAGAACCUGGAGCCGUCCUGUCUCUUCCACAGCAAGCUACAGAAGGUGCUGGCCGAAGAACAGCGCUUAGCCUAUGCAUCUGCAACACCCCGCCUGCACAUGCACCAUGUGGCCCAGGUGCUUCGUGAACUCCUGGGGGACUCCACGCAGCUGCUGUACCCCCGGCCCCGGUACACUGACAGGCCACGGCUCUCGAUGACCGUGCCACACAUCAAGCUGAACGUGCAGGGAGUGAGCCUCCGGUCCCUCUAUAAGCGAUCAACAGGCCACGUUACCUUCACCAUUGACCCAGUCCGUGACCUUCUCAUUUGGGCCGUUAUCCAGAACCACAGGGAGCUGGCAGGCAUCAUCUGGGCUCAGAGUCAGGACUGUACUGCCGCAGCACUGGCCUGUAGCAAGAUCCUGAAGGAGCUGUCCAAGGAGGAGGAAGAUACAGACAGCUCUGAGGAGAUGCUGGCACUGGCAGACGAGUUUGAGCACAGAGCUAUAGGCGUCUUCACUGAGUGCUACAGGAAGGAUGAGGAAAGAGCCCAGAAGCUGCUUGUCCGUGUGUCUGAGGCCUGGGGGAAGACCACCUGCCUGCAGCUGGCCCUAGAGGCCAAGGACAUGAAAUUCGUGUCUCAUGGAGGCAUCCAGGCUUUCCUAACCAAGGUGUGGUGGGGCCAGCUCUGUGUGGACAAUGGCCUGUGGAGGAUCAUCCUGUGCAUGCUGGCCUUCCCGCUGCUCUUCACCGGCUUCAUCUCCUUCAGGGAAAAGAGGCUGCAGGCACUGUGUCGCCCAGCCCGCGUCCGCGCCUUCUUCAAUGCGCCUGUGGUCAUCUUCCACAUGAAUAUCCUCUCCUACUUUGCCUUCCUCUGCCUGUUCGCCUACGUGCUCAUGGUGGACUUCCAGCCUUCUCCAUCCUGGUGCGAGUACCUCAUCUACCUGUGGCUCUUCUCCCUGGUGUGCGAAGAGACUCGGCAGCUAUUCUAUGAUCCUGAUGGCUGUGGACUAAUGAAGAUGGCGUCCCUGUACUUCAGUGACUUCUGGAACAAACUGGACGUUGGGGCCAUUCUGCUCUUCAUAGUAGGACUGACCUGUCGGCUCAUCCCAGCGACGCUGUACCCUGGGCGCAUCAUCCUGUCUUUGGACUUCAUCAUGUUCUGUCUCCGUCUCAUGCACAUCUUCACUAUUAGCAAGACACUGGGGCCCAAGAUAAUCAUCGUGAAGCGGAUGAUGAAGGACGUCUUCUUCUUCCUCUUUCUCCUGGCGGUGUGGGUGGUGUCCUUCGGCGUAGCUAAGCAGGCCAUUCUCAUACAUAACGAGAGCCGCGUGGACUGGAUCUUCCGUGGGGUUGUCUAUCACUCUUACCUGACCAUCUUUGGCCAGAUCCCAACCUACAUUGACGGUGUGAAUUUCAGCAUGGACCAGUGCAGCCCCAAUGGCACGGACCCCUACAAGCCUAAGUGUCCUGAGAGCGACUGGACGGGACAGGCACCUGCCUUCCCCGAGUGGCUGACUGUCACCCUGCUCUGCCUCUACCUGCUCUUUGCCAACAUCCUGCUGCUUAACCUGCUCAUCGCCAUGUUCAACUACACCUUCCAGGAGGUGCAGGAACACACAGACCAGAUCUGGAAAUUCCAGCGCCACGACCUGAUCGAGGAGUACCAUGGCCGUCCCCCGGCACCUCCCCCACUCAUCCUCCUCAGCCACCUGCAGCUCCUGAUCAAGAGGAUUGUCCUGAAGAUCCCUGCCAAGAGGCAUAAGCAGCUCAAGAACAAGCUGGAGAAGAACGAGGAGACAGCGCUCCUGUCUUGGGAACUGUACCUGAAGGAGAACUACCUGCAGAACCAGCAGUACCAGCAGAAACAGCGUCCAGAGCAGAAAAUCCAAGACAUCAGUGAGAAAGUGGACACCAUGGUGGAUCUGCUGGACAUGGACCAGGUGAAGAGGUCAGGCUCCACAGAGCAGAGACUGGCUUCCCUGGAGGAACAGGCUGCAUGGACCAUCAGAAUGCUUGGGUCACUUGGGGGAUUGAUGCCAGACUUCCAGGCCAUAAGCCACAUGCAACAUGGAUCACAGGAGGCCAACCUAGUCUUCCCUGGGACAUGCCAUCCAGGUGACUCAGGUGACCAGAGCUUUGCACUGGAUCGUGACAACCCUGAAGGACAGUGGCUUUGGCUCAGGAGCAGGUGCGCUGACCCUGGCACCCCAGAGGGCCUUCGAUGAGCCAGAUGCUGAGCUGAGUAUCAGGAGGAAAGUAGAGGAACCAGGAGAUGGUUACCACGUGAGCGCCCGGCAUCUCCUCUAUCCCAAUGCCCGCAUCAUGCGCUUCCCCGUGCCUAACGAGAAGGUGCCUUGGGCGGCAGAGUUUCUGAUCUACGAUCCUCCCUUUUACACCGCUGAGAAGGAUGUGGCUCUCACAGACCCCGUGGGAGACACUGCAGAACCUCUGUCUAAGAUCAGUUACAACGUCGUGGAUGGACCGACGGACCGUCGCAGCUUCCAUGGAGUCUACGUGGUCGAGUAUGGGUUCCCGUUGUGAGUAUGCUGAACCUCAGCUAGCAUCAGCAAUGGGGCGCAUUUCUCUCUGAGAGAGCUGACUUCUCUUUCUGGCAAAAGCAAACGAGAAAAGGAAACUCGGUGUGUGCUGUUCCCUCAGAGUCUGCUUGCUCAGAGCCUUUCCCUGGAAGGUCCCUGGAUCCACCACAGCAGUGUCCCAAGUACAUGGGUCUGUUGGAACCUGGGGGCUUCAACUUAUGGUCGGAAACUUGGGGGGCAUAGUCAAGUCUGAAGAGAGCACUCUGGCUCUAGAGCAUGUUGUAAAAAAUAUUUAAAAAAUCCUGCCACGGGGUUCCUUCCCUCCUUUGACCAUUUAUGUUUCUGGAUGAAAGACACACACACAGAGCCUUUAUAUUUUUAAAUAUACCUUACUCAGCACAAUAGCUGGGCAACUGCCGAGCCUCCAGGCUGUUAGAAUCGGCCUCCCAUCGAUAACCCCAUUAUUACUUUCUGUGUUCCAUCUUGGAGGAUUUUAACCCAAUUGGGCAGCCCUCUGGGCCACAUUCUCUUGGUCCAGAGCCAAGAUGCCUCUUCUUGCUUCACUCUCCCAUGACUACUCUGUCUCCCUUGCCCUGCUUCCUCCUCCUCAGGAAACCUAACCCCACCCCCACCCCCACCCCCGCCAAUGUCUCUUCUCCGCAGCUAUUGGCACUGGCAUUUUUAUUUACCAAUCAGAAUUAAAUGGGGGUGGACUCUCUCGCCUUUGGGGCAAAAAAUUUGGGAGGAUGCAAAUUAGCAUUACAAUACAAGCCCCAUUAGGCCAACCCACUACAAGACUGGUGGGCCCACGUUAGGGAUAGUAACCUUUUCCAGCAACUAUGAUGGGCUAACAGUACCCAUAAAUACCCAUAAAUACCACUGUGUUUCCAGAUGGGGUGUGGCCAGCAGGGGGAGCAGUGGAGCAGAGGAUGCCAAGGGGCCUGUGGGAAAGGGAAGGCAGGCAUUUAGGAGAAUAUUCUGGAACAGUGAGUGGGCUACUGUCCCUGGAGCCAGAGGUUGAAUACGGUGGCAGCAGUGGAGGGGUAGUCUGAAAUAGACCAGGGCUCUAGCCUGCAUGUCUGCAUGACGGGGCCAUGAUGACUGGGGCGAAGACGGCUUAGGAAGCAAUGUCAGUUGCGGAGUGAGAGACAGGGAGGAAGAGCAACACUCAGGUGACUGGCACAUACCUGCUGUCAUGACAACUGUGUGGAAACAUAAGCAGGAUGGACCGGAGAGGACCACUCUACAUUUGAGGCGGGGUCUCUCCAUGAGGCUGAAGCUCAGCAGUUGGCUAGGCUGGCUGUCAAUCAUCCUCCUGUCUCUGCCACCCCUCAGAUUACAGGAACCCCAUGGGCCGCACAGGGUUGCGUGGUCGUGGGAGCCUCAGCUGGUUUGGUCCCAACCACACUCUGCAGCCAGUUGUCACCCGGUGGAAGAGGAACCAGGGUGGAGCCAUCUGCCGGAAGAGUGUCAGGAAGAUGCUGGAGGUGCUAGUGAUGAAGCUGCCUCGCUCUGAGCACUGGGCCUUGCCUGGGGGCUCUAGGGAGCCAGGGGAGAUGCUACCACGGAAGCUGAAACGGGUCCUCCGGCAGGAGUUCUGGGUGGCCUUUGAGACCUUGCUGAUGCAAGGUACAGAGGUAUACAAAGGGUACGUGGAUGACCCAAGGAACACAGACAAUGCCUGGAUCGAGACAGUGGCUGUCAGCAUCCAUUUUCAGGACCAGAAUGAUAUGGAGCUGAAGAGGCUGGAAGAGAACCUGCACACUCAUGAUCCAAAGGAGUUGACCCGUGACCUGAAGCUGUCUACUGAAUGGCAGGUGGUAGACCGGCGGAUCCCUCUGUAUGCGAACCACAAGACCAUCCUCCAGAAGGUGGCCUCACUGUUUGGAGCUCACUUCUGACUGUGGCUUCUGGGCCACAAUGGCCCCCCAAGACUUGGACUGCUGUCUUGGGCUGGAUGGCUGGUUGGGGUACUGGGUUGGGGUGGGUGGUAGGUUGUAGGGCUGGGUUGGGUGACCACAGGGAUCUUAAUAAGUCCCCAGAGGUGAUGUCCUGAAAGCCACUUCUGCCACAACAGGAAGGUCACAAGCAUAAGGACAGAAGUGUAUUCAGUGGCUCCUGCUACCUAUGUCCUCAAGUGCCAUGCUUUGACUAGGGUUUAUGGGGCCCUGACCAGCAAGAUGCUGCCACUACCCAUAAGCCUGCCUGGAAGUGCUCUCUCUGGGACAGGCACUUUCCCCUGGAGGGACCUCUGUCCUCAUUGUGGGAGACUUCUGUCCUAGGCAUUAGGUAGAUAGAGGCUGUGCCUCCUUCAGGAAGAGACACUGUCCUUAUAACUUCUGGUCAGUGCUGAGUCACAGGCAUUGAGGGAGGAGGGCUUGGGGCUGGGAUCACUGUCAUCCCUAGACUAUAGAAGUGCUCUUCUGAAGACACUCAGGCAGGAGCAUGCCCUCCCUCAGCACUAGCUGACCUGCUGGUCACAGAAAGUACUGGAAGAAGACAACGGGGCAUCCUGUCAUGGCUUCUAAGAGGAAAGUACAAUUGAGAAUGAUAGGCUUUCUCUGACAGGGUAGGUGACUCAGGGAUUGGUACUGUGGCUAGGAGAUGAACUCUGUAGCCGAGGUGGGUGUGGGGAUGAGCAAUACCGGGCUUUAAUGGGAUAGGACAAUGAAGAACAUGUAUGAUCAAUCUAUCUAAAAAUGAAUCUUGGAAAACUUCAGGACUCAACUGGGGUCACUGGGAACAAAGUUCUGCGGUGUCUGGGGUCUGUCCUGAACUGCUCGAGGUCACCUGGUUUCCCAGACAGUAGGUAUCCCUGGUUCCCAGAAAGGGAGGUGGUCUGAUUAGCUUCUUUUGACAAGCAACAAAGGGGUCUCUGGGAAUGGAGAGGUAGCCCAGUGAACGCUGCUGUGUGGAUCCAUGGAAGCUGGAGGACACGGUCCUAGACUGUCUUUUCUCCAGUUCAGGCUUCAAAACAACGCAGAGAGCCAGGAAUUCUGGACGAUCCAGGAAUCCCUGGAGAUCCAAGAAUCCCGGGAGAUCUAGGAUUUCUGGGAAAAACAAGGAUUAUAGUGGCACAGAGGAGGUCGCCUGGCUCAAACUGUUGAAGAAAAAAAAAAAGGAUAUAAAAAGCAACCGGCUCUGCUCUGGCUGGCCUGGCA